rnacentral:lncRNA from 1 species
AUAGUGUGGAUACCGCGAGCAAAGGUAGGCAGCUGCCAACCCAUAUUUUUUUGAAGACACCAUCUAAUAGUGCUUUUUUCUUCUUCUUUUGGAAUGUAUUGACCUCGGACAUGACAUCUUUCAGAAUUUGUUCUCCCCAUGCAUACUCGCAAACCUCAUCAGCAACUUCAAGGCUGCCUAAAUACUCCAAAGGAACCAUAUUUCCAGUUCGGGUACCAUAUGAGUAGCCAAUGCUACUAGGAAGAAGGUUCUGAAGAAGGUAUCAUCAUCUAAAUCAUUGCCUUUAUCUAGCAUAGUGGCAGCAUAGUGAAUGGGCGCCCGUCUCCCAUGUUCAUAUUCCGUCUUGUAGAAUUCUCGGUGAGGUGAUUCUUCAUGCUUUCUUAUGAUAACCACAUGCCUAGUACCAUGAGGAAGUCCGAGAACCUUUUCAACCAUUUGUCGAGUGAAUAGGAUGCUGGUAUUGUUUCGUGGAUUCCGAAAUUCACCUAGCUUUGGAUUAANNNNNNNNNNNNNNNNNNNNNNNNNNNNNNNNNNNNNNNNNNNNNNNNNNNNNNNNNNNNNNNNNNNNNNNNNNNNNNNNNNNNNNNNNNNNNNNNNNNNNNNNNNNNNNNNNNNNNNNNNNNNNNNNNNNNNNNNNNNNNNNNNNNNNNNNNNNNNNNNNNNNNNNNNNNNNNNNNNNNNNNNNNNNNNNNNNNNNNNNNNNNNNNNNNNNNNCGACCUGCUGAAUAUCGACUCUGGAGCAUGAUCGACUCCUUUUUACUCAUUGUUGAGUGUCACCUAAGAACACAGAAUGUACUGUGUUAGCAUUUCUGUAAAUAUGUGUUGUAAGGAAUGAAGUGAUAGGUUUGGUCUGUCAUGGAAUUAUUCGUAUGGAAGCAAUACACUAGAAAUAACAGUAUAUAUUGGUUGACUGAUGACAUAAAGAAUAAUAGAAGCACAUAAUAUGGACAGAAACAGUACGGCGCAUGACAUAGAAAUUGGUAAGCUUGGUGCCAUGAUGAGGAUGCAUCUGCCUGUAUUUUUGGCAUGGAAGCAUUUUUUCUAUAAGACUGUAUGGAAAAGGGGACAAAUUAGAAGCAAUUUUGUGUGAUGGAAGCAUGGAAUUUAGGGUGCAAUUUCAAUCUUAGAUGGAAGCACAUAAUUUUAAACAAGGAAAACGUAACAACUUUACCGCCAGUCUGAGUGUACUUUUGCUUGGAUGCUCUGUUUAUAGUAGGCAUUAUAAGAUGCACUGAAUAGGGGGUGUCGCAUCAAUUGUAAUGUAGAUUUGAAGCACCAACGAAAUUUGAACACAACUAUAUAAAUCGGAUCAGUACUAGGCCGGCAAUGAACAUAAAUAACUAAUCUAAUCCAGCCGAUGGAUGCAUUACACAGCAAACUCCGUUGAAAAAUUAGAAAUCCCUAAACAUGGGGCGCUCCACCAAGUACACAUACCUCUGAUUCAGGGUUGGGGAGCUUCAAAAAGGGCCACAAUUUUGAAAUCCAAAUGCCUAUACUCCGGCCGACCGAUUGAAAUAGAUGGGGAUGCAGCCGAAUCAGUAGAUGGGGGAGCCUGGCGACUGAAGAAAACUGCAGAAUCGCACUUGGGUCGCAUUGGUGGAGAGUACUAAGGAUAGCCAUGCUGCUCGGCAGGGAGGCUCGACUGACGAACAUUGGGGCCGAAGGCUGGGCGGUGCGGUCCACCGAUGCGAGGCGGAACUGGAGGUGCAAGGCGGAUGGAGCAGGCUGGUGAGGUGGAACUGCAAGGUUCCGUCAUUGGCUGGUGUGGGAGCGUCACGGUGGGGGCCCCGUUGUCUGGUGGAGUCGCGGUGAGACGGUGUCGGAGCAGCGGAUCUGGUGACGCGAGCUGGCGGCGAGGCGAGAGAGGUGGGAAGCAGAGCUCGGGGAGGGCUGACGAUUAAUGUUGGUGAGAGUUUAGGAGAGGUGAUUGCGAGCGGGGCCGGGGAUAUGCAAUUAUGCAGGGAUCGGUUUUUCCUAUUUCCGUUUCUUUUUUUAAACGAGACGAAAUCUGGUGCGUCAACUGUCGAACGAAUCGACGGGUGUCGAGUGGUCUGGCGCUGGCGUUUCUAUAGACUAUGGAUAGGAAGCGUUUACAUGGCCUCUCACCCUGGGUCUUUAAUAAACGCUAAUUAAGUGCUUCCAUGUACGUAUUAACUACUUCCUGAACGCACGAUCCAAUGUUGUUUGUGGGGAAUGGCAAAGUACAGCUGCAAAUUAUGAUGGUGAGAAUCAUUAGAAUGUUCAGAUUUGAACAUUAUUAGCUAAUGACAAAGCAAUAAAAAAAUGGAAGUAAGCGUACGAGAUCCUUUGACUUGAGCGAGCCCUCAUGGUAUGCGGUGUUGAAUUCACGAAGGCAGUUGCUAGCAUCAAAUUUGUCCUCGGGAACAAGUAGCUUGGACUGAUGAAAGGUUGAAACAACAUGUUAGGAUUUUCAAGAUAAUGUAAACAAUGAGACAUUAGGGACAGGGAUAGAAGCAUGUAGUUACGGUCAAAGAUUGUGAGAAUGCAUAUUUGGUUGGAAGAGCGGAGCCACAUGUCUCAAUUGAUUAUUCAAGGUUGAAUUGUCGAAUGUAGAGCUCCAUUGUAUGGGUGUCAACGAACCCACGUGGUUUGAUUGCCUCGCGAAAGUCUUCAUAUGAUAUGUGGUACCCACUGUAAUCAACUAAUGGUGGCCUGGGAUAACAAACGGAAAGAUUGCGCCUGUAAGUAAUUGGUGGAAGCAAUGUUUCAUACAUUGUAAGCAUGAGUAGCAUAUAGUGGAAGUAGGAGUUGGUUUUAUUCGAAACACAUACAUAAUAAACGACGUGAAGAAUAUUAAGGCAAUACAUGUGAUUGGUAGAUUAGAAAUGAUGGAAAUUGUAACCUGUUUUCUUUUUUUUUGUCGGAGGUCGCACACAUCUGGUAGUAAUGUACUUGUUGUACAGAUCAAUAGAGGAACUGUUAACCUUGAGCUUCUUGAGCUUUUGUCCUCAGUUAUUCGAAGACAAGCUCGCUUCUUCCUAUUCUUUUUUUCCUGAGUUUGGGUGCCAAUCGUUUUAGGGACAUCCCUAGUGGUGCCUUCAUGUACCUGAAUGGAUCGUUAUGUGAUGUCGUUAAUGGUGGUUGCUGGAGAGAGAUUGGAGUUUUGGGGUGAGAGUGACUGUGUAAUGAUGCAUCUGUACCUCGGUCACAAUAGGGUUGCUGAUUGGUGCUUCGGUUCCAUUUUCCUAAGUUGAAGCAGGCAAACAAAAUGUUGGAAACUUGAUAAAAAGGUAAUGGAAGCUACAAAUGGGGUGGAAGGAUGCAUUGUUGAGAAAUGAAUUGGACAUAUGUAAUAAACAAAUGUAAUGGAAGGUACUAAUUGUGGUUGUUGGAAACAUUAGAAAAAUGUAAUGGAAGCUACAAGUUCGGUGAACAGAUGCGGUGUUGAGAAAUGAAAAAAUGCACCUGGUUUAGCUGUGUUGGGGCUGUAGUAGGUGGCAAUUGUACAUGGGAUAUUCUGUGACCGAUGUGUGCCAAGUUUGCGUCCACUGUUGACAUGGUUGUUUUUCUAAAGUUGUGUUAGUGAAGACCAUUUAGUACAAGUCAGCUUCGUAAUGGUAUACGAUGCACUGGCCUAGAGUUGAGGAUUGUGCAACUGUUGUAGCAACAUCGACAUCUUGUGGUUGAAGUGAUGACGGAGCUGGUUCGGACCAUAGUUGGGUCCAAGUCUGACCAGGGGGUAGGAAACUAAAACUUGAAUCUUCGUAUGAAGCAAGGAUUCUACGCCUUGUAUCUAAUUUUCCGCUGGAUUGGUUCGUAACAGGAGCGGAUGUAGAAGCAACAUCCUGGUUAUUCUGAGGUGUUUUUCCGACACUUUUAUCCACCUCAUCGGCGUAUGCAGUUGCUUCCUGCCAAAACCUGGUGUCGGGUGUGGCUUUUGUGCCAUUAUUUUGAGCUUUUUCAGCAGAUGAGUCUUGGACAUCCCUAGGAGGCGAAGAAUAAGUAGGUGGUAUCGGGUUAUGGUUUUUUGUGGCAGCAAUGACAUCUUGUGCCAACUCGUUCAUGCGCUUGGCAUGCAGUUUAGUAAGUCGUGAUGUGGCUUUUGAAAUAUCUUCUGCCCAUUUUGAACUAUGCCUUUGCAAAAUUGGUAGUAUGAAUGCUGAUGGUUCCUGCGUGAAGAAAUGGUUUUUUAGAAAUUAGUAUGUUGGAAGCAUGAAAUUUUAAGCAUGAAAACAAUCGAGUAGGAAGGUAGUAACAUGCAUGGGUUGAUGUAUUAGAAGUGGUGGUUGUUCUUGACCCUAAUGCUAGAUGGAAGCCUGAGAACUAAACAAUGACAACUUUAAGAUAAGUAGGUAGAAGCAUGGUUUGCUGUAAAGAAAUUGUCGCUGAUCUUGUUAGCAUGUUAUUUAUGUAAAAAUGUGAGCAAGUGAAAUUUGAUAAUGUUGUACCUUAGAUUGCUUGAUAGGUAAUGUAGGGACCUGGUGAUGCAUGUCCUAUUGUGAAGCACAGAAUAAAAGAUUAGAAAACCCAAAUGAAACACGGAGUACAAGAUCUGAAAAGAAAAUUAUGUUACAAAAUGAGUAAAACACAUGGUGGGUACCCCGGCUGGAUGUUCGGUAGAAUCAGUUUCUGUUUGCUGAAUAUAUGGCUGUUGGUCAGAUUGGUCCUUGUAGUUUGGCGCUUGGAUGGCAUAUGGGGUGGUGUCAAGUGCACGAAACUGCAAAUAGAAGUGCACCAUGAAAGCAAAAGUGGAGAGAACAUAGUGAAUAGUGGUGGAUCGUUAGUAGAAGAAAACUCCUUACAUCCAGAUGUAUAUGGAGAAAGAUAAAAUGGUUUGCAAUUGUUUGAAGCAAGAACUAAAUAAAUGGUAUAGAAGGCAUAAUUGUUUUUUGUCUUACCGGUCGUGCGCCAUAAAUAUGUGGGUUGAGGCUCAGUCUACUUUUAUCAUGUAGCAUGACAAAAUCAAAGUCGUCAUCGGUUACAUGGGAUGCUCUCGGAAGUGAGUAAUUUAUUUGAUGCGUCGACAAAGAUGAUUCUGGAAAGUCAAGAUGGUCCAUGUAUAUAAUUUGGAUUAAAAAGCAGGAUGAAAACAUGUGAAUUUAAAUAAAAGAAUAAGGCUAUCAAAUUUGACAUAGUAAAAAAGAUGUGUAGUAUAGUGUGGAUACCGCGAGCAAAGGUAGGCAACUGCCAACCCAUAUUUUUUUGAAGACACCAUCUAAUAGUGCUUUUUUCUUCUUCUUUUGGAAUGUAUCGACCUCGGAGAUGACAUCUUUCAUAAUUUGUUCUCCCCAUGCAUACUCGCAAACCUCAUCAGCAACUUCAAGGCUGACUAAAUACUCCAAAGGAACCAUAUUUCCAGUUCUGGGUGCCAUAUGAGUAGCCAAGCUACUCGGAAGAAGGUUCUGAAGAAGGUCUCAUCAUCUAAAUCAUUGCCUUUAUCUAGCAUAGUGGCAACAUAGUGAAUGGGCGCCCGUCUCCCAUGUUCAUAUUCCGUCUUGUAGAAUUCUCGGUGAGGUCAUUCUUCAUGCUUGCUUAUGAUAACCACAUGCCUAGUACCAUGAGGAAGUCCGAGAACCUUUUCAACCAUUUGUCGAGUGAAUAGGAUGCUGGUAUUUUUUCGUGGAUUCCGAAAUUCACCUAGCUUUGGAUCAAUCCGGUCAACGAUACAUUCUAGGAGACCCUCUAGAGCUGAGAAUUUGCUAAUAUUAAGUAGAUUACCCCAUUUGUUUCCAGAAAUUAGGUCUUUCCUUUGCAGUGGGAGACCCUUGACAAUAUCAUGUAACCGACCUGCUGAAUAUCGACUCUGGAGCAUGAUCGACUCCUUUUUACUCAUUGUUGAGUGUCACCUGAGAACACAGAAUGUACUGUGUUAGCAUUUCUGU